GGGGGAUAAAUUAAUUAAAUAUAAAUAAUAAAAAAAAUUUUAAUAUUAAUAAUAUAUGGGGUUAAAGUAUUUUUAAUAGAAAAAAUUUUUAUUUUUAUAGUAAAUUUAUACUGUAAGGGAGUUUUAAAAUAAAUGAAAAAAAAAUUAUUAAAAAGUAAAUUUGAAUUAUUGUAUCUUGUGUAUCAGAGUUUAUUAAUAAAAAUAUUAAAUAAUUAAUUCUCGAAUUUAAAAGAGCUAAUUAAUUAAUAAAUUUAAUGUUGAAAAAUUAUUUUAAAUAAUUAAUUAGAAAUGAAAUGUUAAUCGUUUUUAAAAAUAUCUAGUUUUUUCAGAAAAAAAUUUAAUUUAAAAUAAAAAUAAUUUUAUUAAUUAAUUUAAUAAUUAUAAAAAUUUUUAUUUUAAUAUUUUAGGGGAUAAGCUUUAAAAUAAAUUUUUAUAAUUUAUUAAUAUAUUAAAUUAAAAUUUAUAAAAUUUAUAUUGUUUAUAAAUUAUAAUUUUUUAUAAAAAAUUUUAUUUUAAAUAAAAUUUUAUAUAAAUUUAAAUUUUUAUGAAAAAAUAAUUUUUAAUAAUAAAAAUUUAGAUAUAAUGAUAAAAUUAGUAUAUGAUAUAAAAUAAAAAAAAUUAAUAAGAUAAUAAUUAAGUUAAAGGAAUUCGGCAAAUAUAUAUAUUCACUUGUUUACCAAAAACAUGUCUUUUUGAUAAUAAUUUAAAGUCUAAUCUGCCCACUGAUAAUAAAAUUAAAGGGCUGCAGUAUAUUGACUGUACAAAGGUAGCAUAAUCAUUAGUCUUUUAAUUGAAGACUUGUAUGAAAGAUUUGAUGAAAUAUAAACUGUCUCUAAUUUAUUUAUAAAAUUUAAUUUUUUAGUUAAAAAGCUAAAAUAAAAUUAAAAGACGAGAAGACCCUAUAGAGUUUUAUAUAUUGAUUAAUUAAGAUUAAUUAUAAAAUUAUAUAUUUAAAUUAAUUAAUAUAUUAUGUUGGGGUGAUAAAAAAAUUAAAAUAACUUUUUUUUUAAAAAAAACAUAAAUAAAUGAUUAAUUGAUCCAUUAAUAAUGAUUAUAAGAGAAAAUUACCUUAGGGAUAACAGCGUAAUAUUUUUUUUUAGUACAAAUAAAAAAGAAAGUUUGCGACCUCGAUGUUGGAUUAAGAUAAAAUUUAAAUGCAAAAGUUUAAAAUUUUUGAUCUGUUCGAUCAUUAAAAUCUUACAUGAUCUGAGUUCAAACCGGUGUAAGCCAGGUUGGUUUCUAUCUUUAAUUAAUAAGUAAUAUUUUAGUACGAAAGGAUCAAAUAUUAAAAAUAAUUUUUAAAAUUGAAUAUUAAUAAAUUAAUUAA
rnacentral:rRNA from 1 species